rnacentral:lncRNA from 7 species
AGCUCUUUAACUCUUAUUGCCUUAUAAGAUGCUCUGAUAGAGAAUCCUGAAAACAAACAUCCCGAAGUUACAAUAUAGACCCUUUCCUGGGGGUAGUCAGCCCUUAAAUGCUAUCUUGGAGAGCUGCAGCCAGGCUCCACCUUCUAUUCACACUCUGGAUUGACUCCACCUGUGCUCCCACAGCUGACUGAGUUCUGCCUCAGCCGAUCAAUCAGUGGUUCAGGCCAUGACUCAGCAGCUCCCAUUCACCUGGGGAGGUGCAGCCCUGCGAGCACAGCUGAUGGCAAUUUGGCUGUGGGGUGGGGCUGAGACGGGCUCCUCCCCUCCCUGACCGCAUUUAAGGGCUGGGAAGCAAAGGGGGCAGCAUCUGAGUCUGGCUGUGCUUCCUUGAGGGUGUGGGGGUGAGUUCUUCUGUAUUGGAGGGCUGUGAUCUACCCCUUUGCUGGGGGUUCAUAGCUGCAUUUUGGGGCUGGCAGCCAUCUGUACCUGGAAACUGCUUCUUUGGGGGAGCGAGUGAGUAUUGGUCCUUGGAAUGGGUUUGCAGCUCAGUGGGUUUUAAGGAUUGUUGGGACUCCUCUAAUCGGUGGUGUGAGGCCUGUGGAGCAGCUAAUGGAACAUCACGACUAUGCUGACUUCCCCAGGGUCUUACGGUCAUUUCUGUUUCACCAGCAGAUCUGGGUGGCAGCAGAGAGCUGCAGCGCUCCCGAGUGCUGUAACGACUGCACGGAGAGAUGUGCGGAUCUUCACGGGAACAGCAAGGAACCGAAAGCUGCAUUUCCUGGGAUGCCCUGGAACUCCACUUUGCUGACUGGUAAUUGUCUGCCCAGCAGGUGGCAGCAGAGAGCUGCAGCGCUCCCGAGUGCUGUAAUGACUGCACGGAGAGAUGUGCGGAUCUUCACGGGAACAGCAAGGAACCGAAAGCUGCAUUUCCUGGGAUGCCCUGGAACUCCACUUUGCUGACUGGUAAUUGUCUGCCCAGCAGGUAAGGACAAUGCACACCCACCAGUGUUUACCCCUUACUGAGUGAGACACAAGGUAGGGUUCCUAGAGCUCCUUUCUGCACUUCAGGGUUCCCCGAAGGCUGCCCGUCCUAUUCUUUGCACGUUCUCCUUGGCUCUGGCCUUUCACGGCGGUGUUCUCCUUCCCUUUGCCCUUGGCGUUCCCUACUGCAUUCUCUUG